GACGAACGCUGGCGGCGUGCUUAACACAUGCAAGUCGAACGGAAAGGCCCUGCUUUUGUGGGGUGCUCGAGUGGCGAACGGGUGAGUAACACGUGAGUAACCUGCCCUUGACUUUGGGAUAACUUCAGGAAACUGGGGCUAAUACCGGAUAGGAGCUCCUGCUGCAUGGUGGGGGUUGGAAAGUUUCGGCGGUUGGGGAUGGACUCGCGGCUUAUCAGCUUGUUGGUGGGGUAGUGGCUUACCAAGGCUUUGACGGGUAGCCGGCCUGAGAGGGUGACCGGCCACAUGGGUACUGAGGGACGGCCCAGACUCCUACAGGAGGCAGCAGUGGAGAAUAUUGCACAAUGAGCGGAAGCCUGAUGCAACAACGCCGCGUGCGUGAUGACGGCCUUCGGGUUGUAAACCGCUUUCGCCUGAGACGAAGCGUGAGUGACGGUAAUGGGUAAAGAAGCACCGGCUAACUACGUG
rnacentral:rRNA from 1 species